UCCAGACUUGGAAACUCCGCUCGC
rnacentral:piRNA from 1 species